rnacentral:tRNA from 2 species
CGGGAUGUAGCGCAGUUCGGUAGCGCGUACGGUUCGGGACCGUGAGGUCGCAGGUUCAAAUCCUGUCAUCCCGACCA